rnacentral:rRNA from 1 species
GAUGAACGCUGGCGGCGUGCCUAAUACAUGCAAGUCGAGCGAAUGGAUUAAGAGCUUGCUCUUAUGAAGUUAGCGGCGGACGGGUGAGUAACACGUGGGUAACCUGCCCAUAAGACUGGGAUAACUCCGGGAAACCGGGGCUAAUACCGGAUAACAUUUUGAACCGCAUGGUUCGAAAUUGAAAGGCGGCUUCGGCUGUCACUUAUGGAUGGACCCGCGUCGCAUUAGCUAGUUGGUGAGGUAACGGCUCACCAAGGCAACGAUGCGUAGCCGACCUGAGAGGGUGAUCGGCCACCCUGGGACUGAGACACGGCCCAGACUCCUACGGGAGGCAGCAGUAGGGAAUCUUCCGCAAUGGACGAAAGUCUGACGGAGCAACGCCGCGUGAGUGAUGAAGGCUUUCGGGUCGUAAAACUCUGUUGUUAGGGAAGAACAAGUGCUAGUUGAAUAAGCUGGCACCUUGACGGUACCUAACAGAAAGCCACGGCUAACUACGUGCCAGCAGCCGCAGUAA